rnacentral:rRNA from 1 species
AGUGAACGCUGGCGGUAGGCCUAACACAUGCAAGUCGAACGGCAGCACAGUAAGAGCUUGCUCUUACGGGUGGCGAGUGGCGGACGGGUGAGGAAUACAUCGGAAUCUACUUUUUCGUGGGGGAUAACGUAGGGAAACUUACGCUAAUACCGCAUACGACCUACGGGUGAAAGCAGGGGAUCUUCGGACCUUGCGCGAUUGAAUGAGCCGAUGUCGGAUUAGCUAGUUGGCGGGGUAAAGGCCCACCAAGGCGACGAUCCGUAGCUGGUCUGAGAGGAUGAUCAGCCACACUGGAACUGAGACACGGUCCAGACUCCUACGGGAGGCAGCAGUGGGGAAUAUUGGACAAUGGGCGCAAGCCUGAUCCAGCCAUAACGCGUGGGUGAAGAAGGCCUUCGGGUUGUAAAGCCCUUUUGUUGGGAAAGAAAAGCAGCAGGUUAAUACCCCGCUGUUCUGACGGUACCCAAAGAAUAAGCACCGGCUAACUUCGUG